GGAGAGGUGGCUGAGCGGUUGAAAGCGCACGAUUCGAAAUCGUGUUUAGGUUAGCGCCUCCCUCUCCGAGGCGUGGGGCCUUUUCAAUUUGUUGAAUCCGCUCCUUCGCCGCCA
rnacentral:tRNA from 1 species